UACGUAAGGGGCAAGCGUUAUCCGGAUUUACUGGGUGUAAAGGGAGCGUAGACGGCAAGGCAAGUCUGAUGUGAAAUCCCGGGGUUGAGCCCCGGGCCUGCAUUGGAAACUGUCUGGCUGGAGUGCAGGAGAGGUAAGUGGAAUUCCUAGUGUAGCGGUGAAAUGCGUAGAUAUUAGGAGGAACACCAGUGGCGAAGGCGACUUACUGGACUGUAACUGACGUUGAGGCUCGAAAGCGUGGGGAGCAAACAGG
rnacentral:rRNA from 1 species